GUUUUUUUCUCUAUUGCAACCCUAAUUUUUCAUUUUUUUUCAAUUGCAAACCAUUUUAUUUAAAACAUAUAUAUGUAUUUUUUCUAUCAAUUUUUUGUUUCACCAUUUAAUUUGUGCAUAAAAAAUUUUAAUUUUCGUCAUUUUUUCAUAUCUCGUUUCAUAAUUUCAUAUUUUGUUUCUGAAUAUCAGUUAAAAACUUAUAAAAUGACUGCUGGGGGGUAGUUAUUUAAAAAUAGUUAGUAACUGGAAUCUUUACUAAAAUUUUGCGUUAAAACUUAGAAACAAAGGGUGAGAUAUUUGUGUUUUACUUUGGAAAGGUUGAAUCAUUGAUAUUUAUGCUCUUGAUUCCUUGUGUUGGAAUAGAUGUUCCGAAUUUAAAAAAAAAAAAAAAGUAGACAGAUUUAUGCUAGCCUUGUGCCGUACACAAGCAAUCAGUUCAUGAUCCAUAUUCUGAAAGCAAUUUUACGGGUUAUGCAUAACUUAACUAGCUGCACAAAUAUCAUGAUAAACUGAAGAGAACUGCGAGAACAAAUAUUCUCAUGGUUUUGGACAACUGAGAUUGCCUCUAGACAUGCAUUUGUGCCUUGAAUAUUAAUCAAGGACAUGGGUCUCUCCCACACACAAGUAUCUGAAAAUUAGCUUAUUAUCUCAGGUAGAUAAGCUUGUAAUCUUUUCCUUGGAGCAUGGAACAUCCCCCCCAAACAAAAGUUCCAAAAUUUUCUUUUUAUCAGCUUUUCACUUGUGGUUCUUUUAUUUCAGAGAUUUUGAUUCUUGGAUAUG
rnacentral:misc_RNA from 1 species